UACAGAGGGGGCAAGCGUUGUUCGGAAUUACUGGGCGUAAAGGGCGCGUAGGCGGCCUGCUAAGUCGAACGUGAAAUCCCCGAGCUCAACUCGGGAACUGCGUCCGAUACUGACAGGCUUGAAUCCGGGAGAGGGAUGCGGAAUUCCAGGUGUAGCGGUGAAAUGCGUAGAUAUCUGGAGGAGCACCGGUGGCGAAGGCGGCAUCCUGGACCGGCAUUGACGCUGAGGCGCGAAAGCCAGGGGAGCAAACGGG
rnacentral:rRNA from 1 species